rnacentral:rRNA from 1 species
GACGAACGCUGGCGGCGUGCUUAACACAUGCGAGUCGAACGGAAAGGCCCUGCUUUUGUGGGGUGCUCGAGUGGCGAACGGGUGAGUAACACGUGAGUAACCUGCCCUUGACUUUGGGAUAACUUCAGGAAACUGGGGCUAAUACCGGAUAGGAGCUCCUGCUGCAUGGUGGGGGUUGGAAAGUUUCGGCUGUUGGGGAUGGACUCGCGGCUUAUCAGCUUGUUGGUGGGGUAGUGGCUUACCAAGGUUUUGACGGGUAGCCGGCCUGAGAGGGUGACCGGCCCCAUUGGGCCUGAGGUACGGCCCAGAAUCCUACGGGAGGCAGCAGUGGGGAAUAUUGCAGAAUGGGCGGAAGCCUGAUGCAGCAACGCCGCGUGCGGGAUGACGGCCUUCGGGUUGUGAACAGAUGUCGCCUGUGACGAAGCGUGAGUGACGGUAAUGGGUAAAGAAGCACCGGCUAACUACGUG